rnacentral:rRNA from 1 species
CAGCCGCCACGGUAAUACGAAGGGGGCUAGCGUUGCUCGGAAUUACUGGGCGUAAAGGGAGCGUAGGCGGAUCGUUUAGUCAGGGGCGAAAUCCCGGGGCUCAACCUCGGAACUGCCUUUGAUACUGGCGAUCUUGAGUAUGGGAGAGGUGUGUGGAACUCCGAGUGUAGAGGUGAAAUUCGUAGAUAUUCGGAAGAACACCAGUGGCGAAGGCGACACACUGGCCCAUUACUGACGCUGAGGAGCGAAAGCGUGGGGAGCGAACAGGAUUAGAUACCCCAGUAGUCCCUGUCUCUUAUAC